rnacentral:rRNA from 1 species
AGCGAACGCUGGCGGCAGGCUUAACACAUGCAAGUCGAGCGCCUGUAGCAAUACAGGAGCGGCAGACGGGAGAGUAACACGUGGGAACGUACCCUUUGGUUCGGAACAACCCAGGGAAACUUGGGCGUAAUACCGGAUAAGCCCUUACGGGGAAAGGAUUAUCGCCGAAGGAUCGGCCCGCGUCCGAUUAGCUAGUUGGUGGGGUAAGUGGCCCACCAACGGCGACGAUCGGUAGCUGGUCUGAGAGGAUGAUCAGCCUCACUGGGACUGAGACACGGCCCA